UUGCUCAGUGUACGCCGAGUCGUCACUGCGGCCAGGUUGGCACACGUGUUUGUGUUGUGGAUUAAUACGCACGCGCGUGGAGUACCAACAACCGAUUGGGGGGGAGAAAGAAAAAGAGAAGAAGAAUCCUUUCGGUAAAUAUCGCGGAGUGUAGUGAACACGUGUGCGUGCGCGUUUUGUCCCUGGUGAUCUAGAAAACGUGCGGAACGUCCGGCUGAAUCUUGAAAUGUUACAAAACUGAUUUAUCUCGGAGAAUACGUAGUUCCUUAGACAUUUUUCAAAUUGUCGACCAUUUCUUCUAUCCUUGCACUUCCCAACGUUUCUUUAUGUACCACGUGACAUCCUACGUACUUCAAAAUUCUUAAUUAUGGUAAAAUGGGCAAUCAGGAGACCAGCAACACUUAUGAAUGUUACGUAAGAAGGAACGCCUGCUAGUAUAAAAAGUAAUAGUGAUUUCUUGGCUAUACCGGCGAUGAAGAUGACGAAUACAACGUAAUUUUUUAAUUGCCUCCAAAAUAUGUAUUCGAGAUUUCUUCCAAGUAAUCUGUACGUUCCACAUCGGCAAACACUGCUAUACGCCAUCAAAGAUUGCUUGACGAUACCAAAGAGCCAAAUCGUAGCAUGCCAAAUCAAAGAUGGAUCAUCACGAGUAUUCUUAUUUGCUUUUUCCUCGUUGGAACGUUGAAAAGCGCUGUUGGAAGUCCCGUCAGGGACAGGCCAAAGGAGGAAGAGGAAAUGCCUAUGAGCAACUGGACGCAACUUGCAGACGAAUGGCUCGCCAAAGCAAGUGCCGCAAGAGGGUUGGACGUUACCGUUUUACCAUUUACUGAGACGCUAAGAGAUUUACCACCGACCGCGGAAACUAUCCGCAUUAAUGGUACUAACCUCGAUCAACUUUCACGGCACAAUUAUUCGAGAAUGUUGUGGGAGAUGGAGAACGCGCAACCAAAUGGACACUUGUCAGGAUUUGUGGAUAAAGCUUUAAAAUUACUGGAUCUAAAGCAAGUGAUGAUGGAGGUGGAGACAUCGGUGAUGUCGAAAGUGUCUUGUUCAGCGUGCAAAGUUGGGGCAGGUCUUCUUCUACAUUACAUAAAGGUUGGCAAAAACGACGAAGAAAUUAUGAACAGCAUUUACCAAUUUUGUACAUCCCUUAAUAUUCAAAGCCCUCGAGUCUGUCACGGAGUUACAUUGCUCUUUGGGGGCGAAGUUAUUUACGUGUUGAAACAAGUAGAUAUGGGACCAUCGCAAAUCUGCAGCUUUGUUAUCGGCGACGCAUGCGACGACGCGUAUAAUCCUCUGCACGAGUGGGAAGUUGCAUUCCCGCCAGUGAAUAAACCACCUGUGAAACCACCCGUGCCGCCUCAAGAAGGUGCGCCUACCUUCAAGGUUCUUCAUAUCUCUGAUACGCACUACGAUCCUUACUACCAAGAGGGUGCAAACGCAGAUUGUAAUGAACCCUUGUGCUGCAGAUUAACCAAUGGGGCACCCCAGACACCAGCCGCACGUGCUGGACGAUGGGGUGACUACCGAAAAUGUGACACGCCAAAAAGAACGGUUGAACAUAUGCUUAAGCACAUCGCGGAUACACAUUCUGAUAUCGACUACAUUUUGUGGACAGGAGAUUUACCACCUCAUGACGUGUGGAAUCAAACGCGAGAGGAAAAUCUGAAAGUUUUGCAUGAAACGGUGACACAGCUCAUUGAGAUGUUUCCCGGAAUACCGAUCUUUCCUGCUCUUGGAAAUCAUGAAAGUGCUCCUGUUAAUAGUUUUCCACCACCAUUUGUGCCAAAAGAAAACGACAUAUCGUGGUUGUACGACUCGCUCGAUAAACACUGGAGACAUUGGUUACCAGCAGGUGUUUCACACACUGUUCGCCGUGGCGCUUUUUAUUCGGUUCUAGUGCGUCCAGGAUUCAGAAUCCUUUCUGUCAAUAUGAAUUAUUGCAAUAACAAAAAUUGGUGGCUGCUAAUAAAUAGUACGGAUCCAGUGAGCGAACUGCAAUGGCUAGUUUAUGAGUUGCAAGGAGCUGAAAUGAAUGGCGAGAAAGUUCACAUCAUUGGGCAUAUUCCACCUGGUCAUUCGGACUGUUUGAAAGUGUGGUCUAGGAACUAUUAUCAAAUCAUUAACAGGUACGAAUCUACAAUCACGGCACAAUUUUUUGGACAUACCCACUACGAUGAAUUCCAAUUAUUUUACGAUAUUGCUGAUCUUGGAAGAGCUGUUAGCAUAGCUUACGUCGGGCCAUCGGUCACGCCUUAUUAUGAGCUCAAUCCAGGAUACAGAAUAUACUACGUCGAUGGUGAUCAUCCAAAAACCACGAGGAUGGUCGUAGAUCACGAAAGCUGGGUAAUGAACCUAAAAGAAGCGAAUCUUUACGAUUAUCCUAUUUGGUACAAAAUGUACAGUGCCCGACAAGCGUAUCAAAUGCCAUCGCUUUUACCACGGGACUGGGAUACCCUGAUAGAUAAGAUGAGCAAUGAACCUUCGCUUUUCGAUCUGUAUUAUAAACAUUAUUAUAAGAAUUCUCCCGUAAGACCCCAAUGUAAUGAUGAAUGUCGAAAAAGAUUACUUUGUGAUUUGCGAAGUGGAAGAAGUCACGAUCGCAAAGCUCUAUGUCAAAGUCUCGAAUCUAGAAUAGACAACGAAACAAGGACAGGUUGGCGAGCUUGGAUUUACAACGGACUCGCUUUCUCUUUAUUGGCCAUUAUUAAGGUCAAAAAGCUAUUUCACGUGAUAUACACAUUUAUUAGCAAAUGGCACCUAGUAAUUAAAUAACAGACAGUACCUUCUGGUGAUGGAACACAUAUAAUGGUGGUUGAAAUUUCCAACACUAAUCUACAUUGCUUAUAGUAUUGUCUGUUUUCAUGGCAAUUCCUCGAUUUGCAUAUAAUUUACCUAAAUAUGUAUUAGGCCUGGGAUAAAUGAAGAUAACAUUAAAUGGAAAACUGAUGUGAUUUUGUUGUUAAAUUAUUAAAUAUUUACAAUGGUGACAUUGUUAUUUUGAAAGCUGUAAUAUGCAUUUACAUGCAUAAGAAUAUGCAUUAUUACACGCAAAAGUAUGAUGGAAUUGUCAGAUGCAGAUACAUAUAUUCGUGAGAUCCGUGUUAUGUUAUAGUUAAAAGAAUUUAUUUAACUAGCAAUAGAGAGAUUAUAUAGCGUAAAGUUUCACUUUCUAACAUGAAUUAUUUUUCCUUUGAAUGUGAUAAACAUACACAUCGAAUGUAUGUUGCUGUCGUAUCAAAAAUAUUUGAUAAACUGCUUCUAAAGAGGAAUUACUUUAUUUUUUAUUUUCAGAAAUGACUUUCUAUUUAUACAAAUACUAUGUAGAAUGUACUAAAAUUACUAGACAGAGAAGCAUAUUAUCAUAUUAAAUUCCAUGUUUAGUUUAUGUCAAUUCUAUACAAAUUGAAAUCGUAACUACUCUGUGAUCUCAACAUAGAGAAUACAUUUUUGAAAACAAAAAUAUAGAGUGAAUUCACAUAAAAAUAAUUGCAUUUAUAUGUUUGUUACAUGCAAUACAAUUAAAAGAUGAGACAAAUGCAACUAGUUUCAAUAAUAAGAUAUACAAUCAAUCAGAUAUGAAAUCAAAUCUAGGUAAAAUCGACACACUGUUGAUUAGUUUUAGAAAUAUUUUGUACAUAAUCUUAUUUGUAUUGUAUAGUUGCUCUUGAAUUCGUUGUCACAAACAUAAUUAUUAUAAAUGUAUUAACAUUUUUAUGAAUGGAAAUACAAAAAUUGUACUUACAAUUAGUGAUUAUUACACUUAACUUCACUAGCAUAAUCGAUGUUUGACAUAUAGGAUUUAAUUGUAAAAUUGAAUAAAAACUUUUUUACAAUUUACAUGCUUUUGUAAGAAACGGAUAUUCAACAAUGAACGAUAUAAGUUUUAGUGUCAACGAGAGAGCUCCAAGCAAAUCGAGGAAGCUUUUGGAAUCUAGGUGAAGAAAGCUGGUUGUGGAUUAGCGAAUUUAGUUUGGAAUAAGGGAUUAUCAUGUGAAGAAAAUACGCUACAAUGAUCAAAAAACAACAAAAGUAACAUAAAUGCAUAAAAAUCCGCGGUCUAUUCGUUAAAGUUUGUUUGUGCUUUCUUUAUCUCAUAUUUCCUUUACGUUUCUCAAUUUGGUUAUUUUAAGUGGAAUAUUUGAGAACAGCGCGUUUAGUUUUAAAUGUAAUUUUUAUUUAGGCUAUGUACAACACAUACGUACAAUACGUGACCCUUGCUUAAAACUAUAUUACGCUCGCCCGGUAUGCAUUUCCACUUUUAAUCUUUUCUCUUUGACAUACUUGUUAGUGUGUGUGAAUGUGUGCUCUCAUGCAUGCGUCGUCGUAAUAGACACACAUAUAUGUUGUGUUUCUUUCUGUAUGUAUGCAAGUGCAAAUGUGUUCGUAUAUUCGUGUGAUAUGUUACAAAUUUUUAGGAACAUUUCGCGUGGAACACCGCGAGCGAUAUUAGUAAUAAGGUUGCAGCAAAACUACACGAAAACAAUGCAGUCGUCUGCAGCUUCAUUCUCGAUCAAUAUAUUAAUUAGACAAUUAUCGAAAAAUGACACCAAUAUAGACGAUUGUUGAUUGGACAGAUCCAAAUAUCACCACUGAAAGACGCCAGGGAGAAUAACAACUAUGAUAAGAGAAAUACAAAAUUUUUUAAUUGAAAGUAAAUCAAUAUGAUAUUUCAUUUAAUUAUUCAUUUUAAGCCAGAAAGGCAUUAAAUAUGAAACUGCUAAGAGAUAUAUUUACAUUCGCAAUAAAAUUUUAUCUGUAAUUUGGCACACAACUUCUAUAUUAUGUAGAUAGAUAUAUAAUUGUGUAUUUUCUUUGAAACAAAGUAACUUUAUUUUGAUACUUUGAGAAUUCGAUUAAGAUUAAAAGCAAAUACCGAUUUACUUUUGAUAUUUUGAAACCAUUGUAUCUAAUAAUUAAAAUAAUUUUACAACAUUGUUCACGAAUUAAGUGUUAAAGUAUGGGUAUAUAUAUAUAUAUAUAUAUAUAUAUAUAUAUUAUUAUUAAUUUUGCAAGGCAGAUAUAAGAUUUGAUGUAAAAUUAUUUAAGAUAAAAAAGGAACUGUGUAUAGAAAUUCGCGUGAUUAUUUAUUUAGACCCCUGGCGUCUCUCAAAUUUCAAACGCAAGACAUUGUCAGUUAUCCUCGUCUCUCAUCCUGAUUAUUUAAAACUCUGGCCAACAUAAGCACACAAAUCAAUACCUAAUAUUCCACUAAGUUUAGGUAUGCUUAUAUCUUUAAAAGGACAUUGAAAAAUCGCAUAUGCUAGAAUAUCUGUUGAUUACACUGUAUACGUAUCUCUUCCUUAUUUACAAUCUCCUCCGUUAACAAAACUGUUUUGGAUCGUUGUUAAGAAACUAACAAAAAGAUUACGUGGACUGUGCGCGUAUCGAGUUCCACUCUGCGUGCAUAUUGAUUAUUCUAAUUGUUAGUUAUGCGUAGCGCGUGCUGUGUCAAAAAAGAAAAAAGAGAAUAAAAAGAUAGAGAAGAAAGAGGAAAACACGAAAUACAAGUUCGUUUCAUUUAGCCGCUGACUUUGCCUUUAUCAGCGUUGGAAAGAAACUGCAUAUCGUAAAAAUAAAACGAACAAAGAACAAAA